rnacentral:rRNA from 1 species
UACGUAUGGAGCAAGCGUUAUCCGGAUUUACUGGGUGUAAAGGGAGCGUAGACGGCAGGGCAAGUCUGGAGUGAAAGGCAGGGGCCCAACCCCUGGACUGCUCUGGAAACUGUCCGGCUGGAGUGCAGGAGAGGUAAGUGGAAUUCCUAGUGUAGCGGUGAAAUGCGUAGAUAUUAGGAGGAACACCAGUGGCGAAGGCGGCUUACUGGACUGUAACUGACGUUGAGGCUCGAAAGCGUGGGGAGCAAACAGG